GAUAUGCAAGAGAGAUAUUCAGAGAUAAGUCUCAAGUUUGCAGAGGUAGAAGGUGAAAGACAAAAGCUUGUGAUGACUCUACGCAACCUCAAGAAUGCCAAGAAGAGUUGAGUUGAUGACGAUUUCAAAAAUAUAUAUAAUUCAAAACCUAUAUACAAUGUAAAUAUAGUUGCAGCAGCUGGAUGCGCCCUCUCUAAAAAAUCGAUGUGGCAGUUCUGUUGGCGUGAAUAAUUAGAUUGUACAAAGUUCAUAGAAUUUUACCUUUUAGUUUUCGAGUGUAGGGUAAAGGGUUCUUCACCGUCUGAUUCAUGUUCUUUCAGUAAUCCUUAUUUUUUUGGUUUAAACCUUUUCAUGAUGUAUGUGAAGUUUCUCAUCAAUGUAUUCAUUCAUUUUUUAUAUAUAUAUAUUUUUUCUGUUUUGUUUUACCUUUGCCCCCUGCGGAACAGCUGACUUCUGUGGUAAAAAAUUACUGAUUACUUGUGGUACUUUCUUCUCCUUAGCGAUGAUGAUAUUUCAAUAGAGAAAGAUGUGAAACCGUCCACCACAAACAAUGAAGAGUGCAACAUUAAUGAUACGCUGAUAGAACUAGAUUCUCUCAAGGAAAAAAACCAAUGCAUGGAAAGCGAGCUAAAGGAUAUGCAAGAGAGAUAUUCAGAGAUAAGUCUCAAGUUUGCAGAGGUAGAAGGUGAAAGACAAAAGCUUGUGAUGACUCUACGCAACCUCAAGAAUGCCAAGAAGAGUUGAGUUGAUGACGAUUUCAAAAAUAUAUAUAAUUCAAAACCUAUAUACAAUGUAAAUAUAGUUGCAGCAGCUGGAUGCGCCCUCUCUAAAAAAUCGAUGUGGCAGUUCUGUUGGCGUGAAUAAUUAGAUUGUACAAAGUUCAUAGAAUUUUACCUUUUAGUUUUCGAGUGUAGGGUAAAGGGUUCUUCACCGUCUGAUUCAUGUUCUUUCAGUAAUCCUUAUUUUUUUGGUUUAAACCUUUUCAUGAUGUAUGUGAAGUUUCUCAUCAAUGUAUUCAUUCAUUUUUCUUGGUAAAUAUGUAAUCUAAACUAUAUGUACUGCAUAUGGGGUAUUAUUGAUAAAUCCAACAGCAAAUAUUUAUAUGGGAUAUUAUUGAUAAAUCCAACAGCUAAUAUUAUAUGGAGUAUUA
rnacentral:lncRNA from 1 species